UAUUCGUGCGUGUGUGCAUCGUCUGUGCGGUGGUUCGAAGUUGUGAAGUGUCAGGUAGCGCAUUGGUGAACUGAAUCCAUAUACUUCGUGAGUGUGCGCAUGCACAGGAAGCGUGUAGGCCAGUGAGCUGCACUGAAGGAGGCGCGAAGGAGGCAUCACUGCGGAGACAUGAAGCAAGAAACGUUGCUUCAUGUGUGGAUGUGUUCGCGACAGGGAUGCGAACACUGAUCGUUGAUAACAGUCUGAUCAGCGGAAGAGGUGGUAUGUGUGGAAAAAUGAAUGUUGGAAAGCGCUGUUUAUAUAGUUGUCGUUCCUUGUCUUCGGCAUCCCCGGAGCAGUCCCCCUCAUGGGUGUCAGUACAAGUGAAACUGCAUUCCUGCCCGCACUGCAGCUAUGUGACCAAGAAAAAGGCAGAUAUCAAGAGACAUCUUCGCACACAUACGGGCGAGCAGCCCUUCCAGUGCCACUUGUGUCCAGCGGCAUUCACUGAGAACUGCAAACUUGUGGCUCAUUUGCGCACCCACACAGGAGAACGCCCCUUUUCUUGUAUUCACUGCAAUGCAUCCUUUUCACUCAAGGGAAGCCUCAACGCCCACAUGCGCACUCAUACAGGAGAGCGUCCCUUUUCCUGUGUCCAGUGCAAUGCAUCGUUUUCGCAGAAGCCGCAUCUUGUUGCCCACAUGCGCACCCACACAGGAGAGCGUCCCUUUUCCUGUGCCCACUGCAGUGCAUCCUUUGGUCAUAAAACCUCGCUUGUUUAUCACAUGUCUACCCACUCUGAAGAGCGUGCAUUUUCCUGUGUCGAGUGCCAUGCGUCCUUUACACGGAAAACCGGUCUCAGAGACCACAUGCCCCGUUGUCGUGCAAAGAAGACUUAAAUGUUCCUUGUCUUCGGCAUCCCCGGAGCAGUCCCCUUCAUGGGUGUCAGUACAAGUGAAACUGCAUUCCUGCCCCGCACCUGCAGCUAUGUGACCAAGAAAAAGGCAGAUAUCAAGAGACAUCUUCGCACACAUACGGGCGAGCAGCCCUUCCAGUGCCACUUGUGUCCAGCGGCAUUCACUGAGAACUGCAAACUCGUGGCCCAUUUGCGCACCCACACAGGAGAACGCCCCUUUUCUUGUAUUCACUGCAAUGCAUCCUUUUCACUCAAGGGAAGCCUCAACGCCCACAUGCGCACUCAUACAGGGGAGCGUCCCUUUUCCUGUGUCCAGUGCAAUGCCUCGUUUUCGCAGAAGCCGCAUCUUGUUGCCCACAUGCGCACCCACACAGGAGAGCGUCCCUUUUCCUGUGCCCACUGCAGUGCAUCCUUUGGUCAUAAAACCUCGCUCGUUUAUCACAUGUCCACCCACUCCGAAGAGCGUGCAUUUUCCUGUGUCGAGUGCCAUGCGUCCUUUACGCGGAAAACCGGUCUCAGAGACCACAUGCCCCGUUGUCGUGCAAAGAAGACUUAAAUGUGAGUGGCAUACAACCUUUUUCUUGUGGGGUAAAAGGUGGGUUAAUAGAUUACAAUUUUAUGGGAUAACGUGCAUCAAAUGGGUUUUAGAUGCGCGAGAAAUUGAGUUUCUUGUAAAAUAUUGUUUUUCCAUGUUUCUGAUGUCUGCUGCAAUGCAUCCUUUUCAAGGAAA
rnacentral:misc_RNA from 1 species